GAUGAACGCUGGCGGCGUGCCUAAUACAUGCAAGUCGAGCGAACAGACGAGGAGCUUGCUCCUCUGACGUUAGCGGCGGACGGGUGAGUAACACGUGGAUAACCUACCUAUAAGACUGGGAUAACUUCGGGAAACCGGAGCUAAUACCGGAUAACAUGUUGAACCGCAUGGUUCAACAGUGAAAGACGGUCUUGCUGUCACUUAUAGAUGGAUCCGCGCCGCAUUAGCUAGUUGGUAAGGUAACGGCUUACCAAGGCAACGAUGCGUAGCCGACCUGAGAGGGUGAUCGGCCACCCUGGAACUGAGACACGGUCCAGACUCCUACGGGAGGCAGCAGUAGGGAAUCUUCCGCAAUGGGCGAAAUCCUGACGGAGCAACGCCGCGUGAGUGAAGAAGGUCUUCGGAUCGUAAAACUCUGUUAUUAGGGAAGAACAAAUGUGUACGUAACUAUGCACGUCUUGACGGUACCUAAUCAGAAAGCCACGGCUAACUACGUG
rnacentral:rRNA from 1 species